rnacentral:rRNA from 1 species
CUGUGAGCUCGAUGAGUAGGGCGGGACACGUGGUAUCCUGUCUGAAUAUGGGGGGACCAUCCUCCAAGGCUAAAUACUCCUGACUGACCGAUAGUGAACCAGUACCGUGAGGGAAAGGCGAAAAGAACCCCGGCGAGGGGAGUGAAAAAGAACCUGAAACCGUGUACGUACAAGCAGUGGGAGCACAGAGCAAUCUGUGUGACUGCGUACCUUUUGUAUAAUGGGUCAGCGACUUAUAUUCUGUAGCAAGGUUAACCGAAUAGGGGAGCCGAAGGGAAACCGAGUCUUAACUGGGCGUUAAGUUGCAGGGUAUAGACCCGAAACCCGGUGAUCUAGCCAUGGGCAGGUUGAAGGUUGGGUAACACUAACUGGAGGACCGAACCGACUAAUGUUGAAAAAUUAGCGGAUGACUUGUGGCUGGGGGUGAAAGGCCAAUCAAACCGGGAGAUAGCUGGUUCUCCCCGAAAGCUAUUUAGGUAGCGCCUCGUGAAUUCAUCUCCGGGGGUAGAGCACUGUUUCGGCAAGGGGGUCAUCCCGACUUACCAACCCGAUGCAAACUGCGAAUACCGGAGAAUGUUAUCACGGGAGACACACGGCGGGUGCUAACGUCCGUCGUGAAGAGGGAAACAACCCAGACCGCCAGCUAAGGUCCCAAAGUCAUGGUUAAGUGGGAAACGAUGUGGGAAGGCCCAGACAGCCAGGAUGUUGGCUUAGAAGCAGCCAUCAUUUAAAGAAAGCGUAAUAGCUCACUGGUCGAGUCGGCCUGCGCGGAAGAUGUAACGGGGCUAAACCAUGCACCGAAGCUGCGGCAGCGACGCUUAUGCGUUGUUGGGUAGGGGAGCGUUCUGUAAGCCUGUGAAGGUGUGCUGUGAGGCAUGCUGGAGGUAUCAGAAGUGCGAAUGCUGACAUAAGUAACGAUAAAGCGGGUGAAAAGCCCGCUCGCCGGAAGACCAAGGGUUCCUGUCCAACGUUAAUCGGGGCAGGGUGAGUCGACCCCUAAGGCGAGGCCGAAAGGCGUAGUCGAUGGGAAACAGGUUAAUAUUCCUGUACUUGGUGUUACUGCGAAGGGGGGACGGAGAAGGCUAUGUUGGCCGGGCGACGGUUGUCCCGGUUUAAGCGUGUAGGCUGGUUUUCCAGGCAAAUCCGGAAAAUCAAGGCUGAGGCGUGAUGACGAGGCACUACGGUGCUGAAGCAACAAAUGCCCUGCUUCCAGGAAAAGCCUCUAAGCAUCAGGUAACAUCAAAUCGUACCCCAAACCGACACAGGUGGUCAGGUAGAGAAUACCAAGGCGCUUGAGAGAACUCGGGUGAAGGAACUAGGCAAAAUGGUGCCGUAACUUCGGGAGAAGGCACGCUGAUAUGUAGGUGAAGUCCCUCGCGGAUGGAGCUGAAAUCAGUCGAAGAUACCAGCUGGCUGCAACUGUUUAUUAAAAACACAGCACUGUGCAAACACGAAAGUGGACGUAUACGGUGUGACGCCUGCCCGGUGCCGGAAGGUUAAUUGAUGGGGUUAGCGCAAGCGAAGCUCUUGAUCGAAGCCCCGGUAAACGGCGGCCGUAACUAUAACGGUCCUAAGGUAGCGAAAUUCCUUGUCGGGUAAGUUCCGACCUGCACGAAUGGCGUAAUGAUGGCCAGGCUGUCUCCACCCGAGACUCAGUGAAAUUGAACUCGCUGUGAAGAUGCAGUGUACCCGCGGCAAGACGGAAAGACCCCGUGAACCUUUACUAUAGCUUGACACUGAACAUUGAGCCUUGAUGUGUAGGAUAGGUGGGAGGCUUUGAAGUGUGGACGCCAGUCUGCAUGGAGCCGACCUUGAAAUACCACCCUUUAAUGUUUGAUGUUCUAACGUUGACCCGUAAUCCGGGUUGCGGACAGUGUCUGGUGGGUAGUUUGACUGGGGCGGUCUCCUCCUAAAGAGUAACGGAGGAGCACGAAGGUUGGCUAAUCCUGGUCGGACAUCAGGAGGUUAGUGCAAUGGCAUAAGCCAGCUUGACUGCGAGCGUGACGGCGCGAGCAGGUGCGAAAGCAGGUCAUAGUGAUCCGGUGGUUCUGAAUGGAAGGGCCAUCGCUCAACGGAUAAAAGGUACUCCGGGGAUAACAGGCUGAUACCGCCCAAGAGUUCAUAUCGACGGCGGUGUUUGGCACCUCGAUGUCGGCUCAUCACAUCCUGGGGCUGAAGUAGGUCCCAAGGGUAUGGCUGUUCGCCAUUUAAAGUGGUACGCGAGCUGGGUUUAGAACGUCGUGAGACAGUUCGGUCCCUAUCUGCCGUGGGCGCUGGAGAAUUGAGGGGGGCUGCUCCUAGUACGAGAGGACCGGAGUGGACGCAUCACUGGUGUUCGGGUUGUCAUGCCAAUGGCACUGCCCGGUAGCUAAAUGCGGAAGAGAUAAGUGCUGAAAGCAUCUAAGCACGAAACUUGCCCCGAGAUGAGUUCUCCCUGACUCCUUGAGAGUCCUGAAGGAACGUUGAAGACGACGACGUUGAUAGGCCGGGUGUGUAAGCGCAGCGAUGCGUUGAGCUAACCGGUACUAAUGAACCGUGAGGCUUAACCUU